rnacentral:rRNA from 1 species
UACGGGAGAGGCAAGCGUUGUUCGGAUUUAUUGGGCGUAAAGAGCGUGUAGGCGGCCAUACAGGUCCGUUGUGAAAACGUGGAGGCUUAACCUCCAGACGUCGAUGGAAACCGUAUGGCUAGAGUCCGGAAGAGGAGAGUGGAAUUCCUGGUGUAGCGGUGAAAUGCGCAGAUAGUCAGGAAGAACACCCGUGGCGAAGGCGGCUCUCUGGGACGGUACUGACGCUGAGACGCGAAAGCGUGGGGAGCGAACAGGG